ACUGGAUGAGCCUAGCCCCGCCCCCCACUUGCCCCUCCCCCCCGACUCAGCGGCGAGCCUAGCCUCUUCCGCCGCCCCCCAUUCCCCCGCACUGGGUAUAUUGGCGAGGAGGAGAAGGAGGAGGAGCUCUGUGCGUGUGCGCGUGCGCACCACUGGAAGAGAAAUUUGCCCGGAUGGAGUUUGGAGGGCCAGAAAAAAGGUCGUGUCCAGGAAAACCCAUGUAUGGUAACUCUAAACCCCUCUCACAUCUCUUCCACGGCCUGAGGGGGUCAGUCUAACCCUGCCCCCUCACCUACCGCUCUCCCAUGCUUUUCUCUCUCACCAGUAUAAGCUGGUCCAAUAAAAGAUAUUGCCUUA